UCCCUGGUAGUAUAUCGGUUAGUACACGCGCCUGUCAUUCCUGGGCAAUACUUGGUGACGUUCGCGCGAAAGCGGGGUUCGACUCCCCGCCAGGGAG